rnacentral:rRNA from 1 species
AUGAAAAUCCUUGGUUGGAACUGCCGUGGGAUGCUAUCUACCACGGCAGUUCGAGAGCUCUUGGACCUUCAAGAGCGGGUUCGGGCAGACUUAAUUUUUCUUUCAGAAUCUCACUUGAAUAAUUGUAAAGCCGAUGAGCUACGUCGGGUCCUUAGUUUUGAUUCCAUGUUUGUGGUGGAAAGUGAUGGUCGGGCCGGGGGCCUUGUUUUGUUU